rnacentral:rRNA from 1 species
GUUAUAGGAUCAAGCGACUAAGUGCAUGUGGUGGAUGCCUUGGCGAUCACAGGCGAUGAAGGACGUGGCAGCCUGCGAAAAGCUGCGGGGAGCUGGCAAGCAAGCGUUGAUCCGCAGGUGUCCGAAUGGGGAAACCCGGCCCGAAUGGGUCAUCCUGGACUGAAUCCAUAGGUCCAUGGAGGCGAACCUGCCGAACUGAAACAUCUCAGUAGGCAGAGGAAAAGAAAUCAACCGAGAUUCCGAAAGUAGUGGCGAGCGAAAUCGGAGUAGCCUGCACGAUUUAGCCAUCGCUUUAGCAGAACUGUCUGGAAAGUCAGACCGUAGAGGGUGAUAGUCCCGUAUGCGAAAAGGCGGUGGUGGAACUAGGCGUGCGAGAAGUAGGGCGGGACACGUGGAAUCCUGCCUGAAGAUGGGGGGACCAUCCUCCAAGGCUAAAUACUCGUGAUCGACCGAUAGUGAACCAGUACCGUGAGGGAAAGGCGAAAAGAACCCCGGGAGGGGAGUGAAAUAGAACCUGAAACCACAUGCAUACAAACAGUAGGAGCCCCGCAAGGGGUGACUGCGUACCUUUUGUAUAAUGGGUCAGCGAGUUACGCUGUGUGGCGAGCUUAACCGAAUAGGGGAGGCGUAGGGAAACCGAGUCCGAACAGGGCGUCUAGUCGCACGGUGUAGACCCGAAAGCAGAUGAUCUACCCAUGGCCAGGCUGAAGGUUGGGUAACGCUAACUGGAGGGCCGAACCCACUACUGUUGAAAAAGUAGGGGAUGAGCUGUGGGUAGGGGUGAAAGGCUAAACAAAUCUGCAGAUAGCUGGUUCUCUCCGAAAGCUAUUUAGGUAGCGCCUCAUGUAUCACUCCUGGGGGUAGAGCACUGUAAUGGCUAGGGGGUCAUCGCGACUUACCAAACCAUAGCAAACUCCGAAUACCAGGAAGUGCGAGCAUGGGAGACAGACAUCGGGUGCUAACGUCCGGUGUCGAGAGGGAAACAACCCAGACCGCCAGCUAAGGUCCCCAAUGAUUGGCUAAGUGGCAAACGAGGUGGGAAGGCGAAGACAGUCAGGAGGUUGGCUUAGAAGCAGCCACCCUUUAAAGAAAGCGUAAUAGCUCACUGAUCGAGUCGUCCCGCGCGGAAGAUGUAACGGGGCUCAAGCCAAUAACCGAAGCUGCGGAUUUGUGUGUCCUUCGGGGCAUGCAGAUGGUAGGAGAGCGUUCCGUAGGCCUGCGAAGGUGGCUCGUGAGGGCUGCUGGAGGUAUCGGAAGUGCGAAUGCUGACAUGAGUAGCGAUAAAGCGGGUGAAAAGCCCGCUCGCCGUAAGCCCAAGGUUUCCUGCGCAACGUUCAUCGGCGCAGGGUGAGUCGGCCCCUAAGGCGAGGCAGAAAUGCGUAGUCGAUGGGAAACGGGUCAAUAUUCCCGUACCGGCUUGGAAUGCGAUGGGGGGACGGAGAAGGCUAGGCAGGCCGGGUGUUGGACGUCCCGGUUCAAGCGCGUAGGCGGAUCCCUUAGGCAAAUCCGGGGGAUCAACGCUGAGACGUGACGACGAGCGCUCACUGAGCGCGAAGCUGUUGACGCCAUGCUUCCAGGAAAAGCCUCUAAGCUUCAGUUCCAAGUCGACCGUACCGCAAACCGACACAGGUGGGCGAGAUGAACAUUCUCAGGCGCUUGAGAGAACUCAGGAGAAGGAACUCGGCAAAUUGACACCGUAACUUCGGAAGAAGGUGUGCCCCGAGUAGGUGAACCUGUACAAGGGGAGCCGAAUGGGGUCGCAGAGAAUCGGUGGCUGCGACUGUUUAAUAAAAACACAGCACUCUGCAAACACGAAAGUGGACGUAUAGGGUGUGACGCCUGCCCGGUGCCGGAAGGUUAAGUGAUGGGGUGCAAGCCCUUGAUCGAAGCCCCGGUAAACGGCGGCCGUAACUAUAACGGUCCUAAGGUAGCGAAAUUCCUUGUCGGGUAAGUUCCGACCUGCACGAAUGGCGUAACGAUGGCCACACUGUCUCCUCCUGAGACUCAGCGAAAUUGAAGUGGUUGUGAUGAUGCAAUCUACCCGCGGCUAGACGGAAAGACCCCAUGCACCUUUACUGUAGCUUUGCAUGGGACUGUGAACCGGUCUGUGUAGGAUAGCUGGGAGGCUUUGAAGCGGGGACGCCAGUUCCCGUGGAGCCGUCGUUGAAAUACCAGCCUGAUCUGUUCGCGGUUCUAACCUAGGCCCGUCAUCCGGGUCGGGGACAGUGCAUGGCAGGCAGUUUGACUGGGGCGGUCUCCUCCUAAAGGGUAACGGAGGAGCUCGAAGGUACGCUAGGCACGGUCGGAAAUCGUGCUGAUAGUGCAUUGGCAAAAGCGUGCUUGACUGCGAGACUGACACGUCGAGCAGGUGCGAAAGCAGGACAAAGUGAUCCGGUGGUUCUGUAUGGAAGGGCCAUCGCUCAACGGAUAAAAGGUACGCUGGGGAUAACAGGCUGAUUCCGCCCAAGAGUUCACAUCGACGGCGGAGUUUGGCACCUCGAUGUCGGCUCAUCACAUCCUGGGGCUGUAGCCGGUCCCAAGGGUAUGGCUGUUCGCCAUUUAAAGUGGUACGUGAGCUGGGUUUAAAACGUCGUGAGACAGUUUGGUCCCUAUCUGCCGUGGGCGCUGGAGAUUUGACGGGGCCUGCUCCUAGUACGAGAGGACCGGAGUGGACGCACCUCUGGUGUACCGGUUGUGACGCCAGUCGCAUCGCCGGGUAGCUAAGUGCGGAAGAGAUAACCGCUGAAAGCAUCUAAGCGGGAAACUCGCCCGAAGAUGAGAUCUCCCCGGAGGCCAGACCUCCCUGAAGGGUCGCGGAAGACCACCGCGUUGAUAGGCCGGGUGUGGAAGCGCAGCAAUGCGUUGAGCUAACCGGUACUAAUUGCCCGUGAGGCUUGAUCCUAUAACCCUGA